CCCCCCCCCCCCCCCCCCCCCCCCCCCCCCCCCCCCCCCCCCCCCCCCCCCCCCCCCCCCCCCCCCCCCCCCCCCCCCCCCCCCCCCCCCGGGGGGGGGGGGAGGUGGCACCGUCCCUGUCCCUGUCCCCAGGGCUCCCAGUGGCUCCCAGUAAGUCCCAGUUCCCAGGAGUGGCCCCGCAGCCCAAAGGGACAGGAGGGGACAGCAGGACACCGCCCCAAAGUCCCCGUGUCCCCUCCAGGGUCCUUGGCACAGCAGGGAGCAGCGGUGGCACCUCCUGGUGUCACCUCAGGUGUUACUGCCUGGUGGCACCUCUGAUGUCACCUCUGGUGUCACCUCCUGGUGUCACCUCAGGUGUUACUGCCUGGUGGCACCUCUGAUGUCACCUCAGGUGUUGCUGCCUGGUGGCAGCUCCUGGUGGCACCUCCAAGGUUCUUCAGUGUCACAUCCCAGGUGUCCCCAGGGUCGUGUUCUUGGUGUCCUCAAUGUCCUCGAUGUCACAUCUCCAGUGUCCCCAGUUCUCCAGUCCCAGUGUUCCCAAUGUCACACCCCUGGUGUCCCCGGUGUCCUGUUCCCAGUGUUCCCAAUGUCACACCCCUGGUGUCCCCGGUGUCCCGUUCUCAGUGUCCCCAGUGUCACAAGGUGAAGAUCUCGCCCUCGCUGUCCCCAGUGUCCCCAGUGUCCCCAGUGUCCCCCCCCCCCCCCCCCCCCCCCCCCCCCCCCCCCCCCCCCCCCCCCCCCCCCCCCCCCCCCCCCCCCCCCCCCCCCCCCCCCCCCCCCCCCCCCCCCCC
rnacentral:lncRNA from 1 species